UACGGAGGGGGCUAGCGUUGUUCGGAAUUACUGGGCGUAAAGCGCGCGUAGGCGGACCUGCAAGUCGGGGGUGAAAGCCCGAGGCUCAACCUCGGAACUGCCUUCGAUACUGCGGGUCUCGAGUCCGGGAGAGGUGAGUGGAAUUCCUAGUGUAGCGGUGAAAUGCGCAGAUAUCAGGAGGAACACCAAUGGCGAAGGCAGCUCGCUGGGACGUGACUGACGCUGAGACGCGAAAGCGUGGGGAGCAAACAGG
rnacentral:rRNA from 1 species